rnacentral:rRNA from 1 species
UACGUAGGGGGCAAGCGUUGUCCGGAAUCAUUGGGCGUAAAGAGCGCGUAGGCGGUCCGGUAAGUCCGCUCUGAAAGUCCGGGGCUCGACCCCGGGAGGCGGGCGGAUACUGUCGGGCUAGAGUCCGGAAGAGGCGAGUGGAAUUCCUGGUGUAGCGGUGAAAUGCGCAGAUAUCAGGAGGAACACCAAUGGCGAAGGCAGCUCGCUGGGACGGUACUGACGCUGAGGCGCGAAAGCGUGGGGAGCAAACAGG